UACGAAGGGUGCAAGCGUUACUCGGAAUUACUGGGCGUAAAGCGUGCGUAGGCGGUUUGUUAAGUCUGUUGUGAAAGCCUCGGGCUCAACCUGGGAAUGGCAAUGGAUACUGGCAGGCUAGAGUGCGGUAGAGGGUAGUGGAAUUGCCGGUGUAGCGGUGAAAUGCGUAGAGAUCGGGAGGAACACCAGUGGCGAAGGCGGCUACCUGGACCAGCACUGACACUGAGGCACGAAAGCGUGGGGAGCAAACAGG
rnacentral:rRNA from 1 species